rnacentral:misc_RNA from 1 species
GGGAACACACUCUUUCCAACCCCACGUAUAAACUUCUCCACCAUCUGUGUCUAAGAAAUCAAAAAGUGCUCAGCCUACCAGUCUAUAAAGAGUGAUUUUUACCUAAGAAAAUAUUGGUCACAGAUAAAUCAGAUUAGUAGAAACAGACUAAUCAGGCUUCAUCUAUGCCCAUGAAGAAACUAACUAAUCAGGCUACGUCUAUGCCCUUGAAGAAACAAUGAGGAGAUCAGCAUUACCUGUAGCUGCUACACAAUGGGCCC